rnacentral:rRNA from 1 species
GACGAACGCUGGCGGCGUGCCUAAUACAUGAAAGUCGAACGCAGUGGGGACGGGUGAGUAACACGUGGGUAACCUCCCAUCAGAGGGGAUAAAACUUGGAAACAGGUGCUAAACCGAUACUGAUGGAUGGAACCGCGGUGCGUUAGCUAGGUGGUGAGGUAACGGCUCACCAAGGCCACGAUGCAGAGCCGACCUGAGGGGGUGAUGGGCCACACUGGGACUUGGCCACGGCCCAGACUCCUCCGGGAGGCAGCAGUAGGGAUUCUUCGGCAAUGGACGAAGGUCUGACCGAGCAAUGCCGCGUGAGUGAAGAGGGUUUUCGGGUCGUAAGACUCUGUUGUUAGAGAAGCGGUAUCUAACCAGAAAGCCACGGCUAACUACGUGCCAGCAGCCGCGGUAAUAC